AGCUGGCAUGAGCUCACCUUGAGCAGGGCUAUCUUCUUAUGUUCCUUUUUCCUUUUCUUACACUAAAACAGUUCCAGGCUUUUUAUUAGGAAACAAAGGACCCCAUACCAGUGCAGAAAUCAUUUGUGAGCAGCUUGGCAGGAGGCACAAUCCAUCCAGUUGCUGCAGAUUAUUUUUUCUCUUUGCUAGCUUUUUUUUCAGGUCCCACUCCUUCUAAAGAAGAAUUAUGUUUAUCAUGAGCAGGGGAAUCUUUUGAUGCAUGGAAUUAGUCAGAAGCUACACAGCUACCAAGGAUUUUAAGUCAAAAGGAUAAAUUUUUUACUUCAGGGAAAAUAACAUCUAUGGAUUGUACUGAAGUAGAAACACAGAAAAGUUGAGCUUUUCAGCAAGGUGCAGAGUGUUACCAAGGGUUCAUCUAGGAGUGUAGCACAAGGCACAAAGCAAGCACUGAGCAGUGGGGAACCUUCUGAGCACACACACUGUUCCUCACCUGUGCGCUGCACUGAGUCAGGCAGCUGCUCUUUGGAACACAAAAUAUAAAAGCAGCUGCUCAACAAACAUAUUGCUGUGGCCUUCACACAAGUUUCUAGCUUUGAACUGGAGAAAAGAUCAACCUGACUCAUAUUUUACUGGUUCUGACAGAUGUGGUGGUGUGAAGAUGGCAGCAAGUCAGACUGCUGAGCCACUCUUGGGCAGAAGUGCACACAGAUGUGUUGUGUUGUCUGCAGUCAUUUAAAUACAUUUGUUUUAGCACACACUGGAUGAUAAUAUUCAUAAUUCACAAUGAUGAAGAAUGAUGAUAAUGAUCACAUAAUUUGUAAUGAUGACAUGAUGAUAGCUAAUUGUAACCAAAAAAAUUAAAUAAAAUGGCAGCUAUGCUCAGUUCAAAUGAACACAAGAAAAUCUUUAUGGUGAGAAAGAGCCUACAAAAUAAAACUCUCCCACACCUGG